GUGUUAACUUUGGCAGCAGAUAUACUAAAAUUGGAGCAAUACGAAGACAAUGAGCAUGGUCUCUGCACAAGGAAAACAUGCAGCUUUGAAGCAGUAGAUUUAAAUCUA
ensembl:snRNA U6 U6 spliceosomal RNA